rnacentral:rRNA from 1 species
UACGUAGGGUGCAAGCGUUGUCCGGAAUUAUUGGGCGUAAAGAGCUCGUAGGCGGUUUGUUGCGUCGGCUGUGAAAUCCCGAGGCUCAACCUCGGGUCUGCAGUCGAUACGAGCAGACUAGAGGUAUGCAGGGGAGAACGGAAUUCCUGGUGUAGCGGUGAAAUGCGCAGAUAUCAGGAGGAACACCGGUGGCGAAGGCGGUUCUCUGGGCAUGAUCUGACGCUGAGGAGCGAAAGUGUGGGGAGCGAACAGG